GAUGAACGCUGGCGGCGUGCCUAAUACAUGCAAGUCGAGCGAACCGAUGAGGAGCUUGCUCCUCUGACUUUAGCGGCGGACGGGAGAGUAACACGUGGAUAACCUACCUAUAAGAAUGGGCUACCUUCGGGAAACCGGAGCUAAAACCGGAUGAUUUAUUGCACAGGAUUGAUCCAUCGUGAAAUACGGUUUUGCUUUCGCUUAUGGCUUAAUCCGCGCCGAAUCCUCAAGUUGGUUAGGUAACGGCUUACCAACGCGACGAUGCUUAGCCGACCUGAGAGGGUGAUCGGCCACACUGGAACUGAGGCACGGUCCAGACUCCUACGGGAGGCAGCAGUAGGGAAUCUUCCGCGAUGGGCGAGAGCGGGACGGAGCAACGCCGCGGGAGUGAUGAAGGUCUUCGGAUCGGAAAACGCUGUUAGUAGGAAAGAACAAAUGCGUAAGUAACUAUGCACAUCUUGACGGUACCGAAACAGAAAGCCACGGCUAACUACGUG
rnacentral:rRNA from 1 species